rnacentral:rRNA from 1 species
GAGUGGCGGACGGGUGAGUAACACGUGGGUAACCUGCCCUAAAGUGGGGGAUAACAUUUGGAAACAGAUGCUAAUACCGCAUAAAACCUAACACCGCAGGUGUAGGGUUGAAAGAUGGUUUCGGCUAUCACUUUAGGAUGGACCCGCGGUGCAUUAGUUAGUUGGUGAGGUAAAGGCUCACCAAGACCGUGAUGCAUAGCCAACCUGAGAGGGUAAUCGGCCACACUGGGACUGAGACACGGCCCAGACUCCUACGGGAGGCAGCAGUAGGGAAUCUUCCACAAUGGACGAAAGUCUGAUGGAGCAACGCCGCGUGAGUGAAGAAGGUUUUCGGAUCGUAAAACUCUGUUGUUGGAGAAGAAUGUAUCUGAUAGUAACUGAUCAGGUAGUGACGGUAUCCAACCAGAAAGCCACGGCUAACUACGUGCCAGCAGCCGCGGUAAUACGUAGGUGGCAAGCGUUGUCCGGAUUUAUUGGGCGUAAAGCGAGCGCAGGCGGUUUCUUAAGUCUGAUGUGAAAGCCUUCGGCUCAACCGAAGAAGUGCAUCGGAAACUGGGAAACUUGAGUGCAGAAGAGGACAGUGGAACUCCAUGUGUAGCGGUGAAAUGCGUAGAUAUAUGGAAGAACACCAGUGGCGAAGGCGGCUGUCUGGUCUGUAACUGACGCUGAGGCUCGAAAGCAUGGGUAGCAAACAGGAUUAGAUACCCUGGUAGUCCAUGCCGUAAACGAUGAGUGCUAGGUGUUGGGAAGGGUUUCCGCCCUUCAGUGCCGCAGCUAACGCAUUAAGCACUCCGCCUGGGGAGUACGACCGCAAGGUUGAAACUCAAAGGAAUUGACGGGGGCCCGCACAAGCGGUGGAGCAUGUGGUUUAAUUCGAAGCAACGCGAAGAACCUUACCAGGUCUUGACAUCCUUUGACCACUCUAGAGAUAGAGCUUUCCCUUCGGGGACAAAGUGACAGGUGGUGCAUGGUUGUCGUCAGCUCGUGUCGUGAGAUGUUGGGUUAAGUCCCGCAACGAGCGCAACCCUUAUUACUAGUUGCCAGCAUUUAGUUGGGCACUCUAGUGAGACUGCCGGUGACAAACCGGAGGAAGGUGGGGACGACGUCAAAUCAUCAUGCCCCUUAUGACCUGGGCUACACACGUGCUACAAUGGAUGGUACAACGAGUUGCGAGACCGCGAGGUUUAGCUAAUCUCUUAAAACCAUUCUCAGUUCGGAUUGUAGGCUGCAACUCGCCUACAUGAAGCCGGAAUCGCUAGUAAUCGCGGAUCAGCAUGCCGCGGUGAAUACGUUCCCGGGCCUUGUACACACCGCCCGUCACACCAUGAGAGUUUGUAACACCCAAAGCCGGUGAGGUAACCCUUCGGGGAGCCAGCCUC